UACGUAGGCAGCGAGCGUUGUCCGGAUUUAUUGGGCGUAAAGAGCGUGUAGGCGGUUAGGUAGGUCCGUUGUGAAAACUCGAGGCUCAACCUCGAGACGCCGAUGGAAACCAUCUGACUAGAGUCCGGAAGAGGAGAGUGGAAUUCCUGGUGUAGCGGUGAAAUGCGCAGAUAUCAGGAAGAACACCCGUGGCUAAGGCGGCUCUCUAGUACGUGACUGACGCUGAGACGCGAAAGCGUGGGGAGCGAACAGG
rnacentral:rRNA from 1 species